CCAAAGGCUCUUUUAAGAGCCACCCACUUGUUCUUAUAAAAGAGCU
rfam:Calypte anna contig3939, whole genome shotgun sequence.